GAAGCCUUGAACCCACACCGUACCCUGCAUCCCACUUCCGGCCUCUACCUCUCCCACCCAUCGCUACCGCCCCACGUAUGCCGCUACCCCAUAUGAGCUUAUCCGCGCCACCACCAGCCAUACAUCGUGCAUCGCUGUCUCUUCCCCACGGUCCCCUUCUUCCCUCUCCGUCGCCUCUCUCGGAUCUUUGAGAAGCUCGACGUUGCCACGCCUGAGAACGCGCGCUGUGUCCCUCCGAAUCACGCCGUGACCACAUCUUCUUCUUCAACUCCGACAUCGGCGCCGCCGUGUCGCCGAUCUCCUCUGCGAGCAAACCCUAGCCAAAUUUUCAUAUCCACCCUGAGAUCCUGACCUGCCCGCCUGCUAAUGCAGACGGAGGCGCGGGUGGGCGGUGUCGUUGUCGACUGCCGGGGCGCCGACCGCUAGAAUCAGGAACGUCGGCACCGCCACCAUGGCACACCUCGCUGCUGACGGGAUCGGGCGGACGUCGUCAGCAAGACCUGCACAAGGCCCCUCCCCUGCCUCACCAUACUCUUACAGGUUAUUGUUUCCGGCUCCCUAAUUCUCUCUUGCUUUCUUAUAUGACGGAUUGGGGAACUUAGAGCUGGAGAGGGAAAUUCUCAUAAAGAUUUGGGGGCUGCAAAGGUACGGGAUAAACCUUGGGGUUCUAUCAAACUAAGGAAUUGAAGUGUUUAUGUGAGUGGCUGACCCGUGGAGGAGGUGUGUGAGCAGCGCAUCCCCGAUCUGUGUGAUCAGCAUGUCCACGUCUCCCAACCUGCCGGCUGCCACUUCUCAACACUGACCUCAAGAAUCCUCGAAUGGAUUUGCAGGCUAUGGAUCAAUACCGCUCCAUUGGUCUAACAUAGUUGGUUCAUGUUUAGCAUUUGGCAACAUAGAAUUUCGUCGAUGUACGGCUUUGGCUUGGAGAUUUUGUCAACAUCAAAUUUUGACAAUUUCGUGAUGAAGCACGAGCGGGUUAGAGCUCUGAAAAUGCAAUGUUCGCUGUGGCCGACGAGGCGCAGACUGUGGGUGAGUGGUGGGAGAGGCUCUGCUCCGCCGGCGGAUCGAAGGAGCAAAACAGGUUGAAUAUGACCGUGGCAGCCUACACUGUGUGGAACCUCUGGAAGGAGAGAAAUCAACGAGUAUUCGAGAAUAAAGAGCUGACUGCUACUGCUCUAGCUGGGCUCAUCAAGGAUGACAUCAAGUGCUUUGGGGAGGCAACUAGAGGGAUUCCCUUUGUAGGGCCGUAAUUUUUUCUGUCUCCUAAACCUCACGUUGUAAUGUGGGAUGCGACCUCCUCUCGUUGGUCCAUCCGUUUCUGUAUGUCUUCUCUUCUAUAAUGCAAAGGCAGAGCUCCUGCUAUUCCCGUCAAAAAAAAAUUAUUUUGAAAAAUAAGUUGUUCUUCUCUCUCUACAGUUCAAUGAAAUGAUGGAAUGGUGACCUGCA